rnacentral:rRNA from 1 species
UACGGGGGGGGCAAGCGUUGUUCGGAAUUACUGGGCGUAAAGGGUGCGUAGGUGGCGGGGUAAGUCGGGUGUGAAAUUUCGGAGCUUAACUCCGAAACUGCAUUCGAUACUGCCGUGCUUGAGGACUGGAGAGGAGACUGGAAUUUACGGUGUAGCAGUGAAAUGCGUAGAGAUCGUAAGGAAGACCAGUGGCGAAGGCGGGUCUCUGGACAGUUCCUGACACUGAGGCACGAAGGCCAGGGGAGCAAACGGG